UGCCAGCAGCCGCGGUAAUACGAAGGGGGCUAGCGUUGUUCGGAUUCAUUGGGUUUAAAGGGUACGUAGGCGGAUAAAUAAGUCAGUGGUGAAAGCCCGAAGCUCAACUUCGGAACUGCCAUUGAUACUGUUUAUCUUGAAUUUGGUUGAAGUGGGCGGAAUAUGACAUGUAGCGGUGAAAUGCAUAGAUAUGUCAUGGAACACCAAUAGUGAAGACAGCUCACUAAGCCAAUAUUGACGCUGAGGUACGAAAGCAUGGGUAGCGAACAGGAUUAGAUA
rnacentral:rRNA from 1 species